GAUGAACGCUAGCGGCAGGCCUAACACAUGCAAGUCGAGGGUAUUCAGUUUUCGGACUGGAGAGACCGGCGCACGGGUGCGUAACGCGUAUGCAAUCUACCUUUUACAGGGGGAAUAGCCCAGAGAAAUUUGGAUUAAUGCCCCAUAGUAUAUAAACUUCGCAUGUUGUUUAUAUUAAAGUUCCAACGGUAAAGAUGAGCAUGCGUCCCAUUAGUUAGUUGGUAAGGUAACGGCUUACCAAGACGAUGAUGGGUAGGGGUCCCUGAGAGGGAGAUCCCCCACACUGGUACUGAGACACGGACCAGACUCCUACGGGAGGCAGCAGUGAGGAAUAUUGGGACCAAUGGGCGCAAAGCCUUGAUCCAGCCCAUUGCCCGCGUGCAGGAAG
rnacentral:rRNA from 1 species